rnacentral:rRNA from 1 species
AGCUCCAAUAGCGUAUAUUAAAGUUGUUGCGGUUAAAAUGCUCGUAGUUGGAUUUCUGCCAAGGUAGACCGGUCCGCCCUCUGGGUGAGCAUCUGGCUCAGCCUAGGCAUUUUCUUGGGAAACGUAGCUGCACUUGACUGUGUGGUGCGGUAUCCAAUACAUUUACUUUGAGGAAAAUAGAGUGCUUCAAGCAGGCAUAUGCCUUGCAUAUAUUAGCAUGGAAUAAUAAUACAGGACAUUGGCUCUAUUUUGUUGGUUUUUAGAGCUUUGGUAAUGAUUAAUAGGGAUAGUUGGGGGCAUUCGUAUUUAACUGUCAGAGGUGAAAUUCUUGGAUUUGUUAAAGAUGGACUACUGCGAAAGCACUUGCCAAAUAUGUUUUCA